UGUUAAAAUUUUCAUCCAUUUGUAUUGCUAAAAAUUGGUGUGGCUGAUGGAAUAACCUUACAGGGUCAGUUUUUAACAGUAGAAUAGGAUGUAAUUUUUAAUA
rfam:Gossypium raimondii Chr01_contig_6, whole genome shotgun sequence.